rnacentral:lncRNA from 1 species
GUGCCAGGAUUACAAGCGUGAGCCACCAUGUCCGGCCCAAAGAGGAGAAGAAGUAUUAAGUGCUUGCUUGGACCUUUUUACUGUGCUUAUUAUUCUGUCUUCUCCUCAUGGCAAGGAUGGGGUCAUGCUUUGUUGUCCAGGCUGGUCUCGUACUCCUGGAAUCAAGGAACCCUUCCACCUCAGCCUCUGAAAGUUCUGGGAUUACAGGCAUAAUCCAUCCUGCCUGGCCAAGAAUCUUUAAUGCUCUGCUCAGGCAACUCUUCCUCUGAGGAUCCUUCCAGUGACAAUUCAAGAAUUAGCGACUCAAUUCCCAGGGUCCCUUAGACCUUCGACCUGCUUGUGGGCAAUUUGGAAACAAGGAUUGUGCCUGAAUCACCUUUGCAUUCCUAGCAUCGUUUUUCCUGGAUAAUAAUUUGUUCAAUAUAUGUUCAAUAAUUGUUCAAUUAUUCAAUAACAAAUGUUCAAUAAAUGUGUGUUAAAUGAAUGACCACAGCUCCUAUAGCAGGUAGCUGACUUUGUGUCUCCUCAACCAAUCUCUGAGCUCUUUGAAACAAAGCCUAUUUUGUUUGAAUGUAAAUUUAUCAUCCCAGUUUCUGGUACAGGGUAGGGAACUAAUGCAUAUGUGGUGAAACAAUCAAUGCCUUAGUGCUUAUGAAGAAUAUCACUGUGUUACACAGAAGCAUGGAAUGACUAAUGUUAAGCUAAAGUCAAGUUACUUAGGGAAUAUUAACUUGCAUUUAUUAUACUCUGGGGGAAAAACACAUAUAUGUGUAUAUAUGUAUAACAUAUGUAUGUAUACACAUAUCAGAAUUUGUAUGUGAGAAUG